CUCCAGGACCGAGGCGUUGAGGUGGCGUGACUGGCGUGAAUUCGGCGUGCCCUGUCUGCAAUCCUGCCUUUCAGUAAGGGGCAGUAAGGACAAGAUCCACCCACCACCCAGUGCAUGCUACAUA